UAACUGCUUUGUAAUUCCUUUUUUUUUGGGGCCUUCUCAAAGAUUGUAAGUUGUAACUGUUUUGUAGUUCUCAUUUUUUUUUGGCAGUAAGAUAUCUGAAAAAAACAUUUUCUUCUAUUCAAUUAAAACAUGUUUAUUCAAAGUAAAUAAGGGAUCAAAGUUUGCCGAACUAAAAGAGAUGUGUUGAAAGAACACAUGUUAAUAAAAUACUAAAAGUACCACAUGCAGAAAAAGAAGAAAAGGCAAUGUUAAAGUACAGAGCUCGAGAAUAAACAUAUUAGAAAACAUAUUAGGAAGAAGAAGAAGAAGAAGAAGAGGCAAUGUUAAAGUACAGAGCUCGAGAAUAAACAUAUUAGAAAACAUAUUAGGAAGAAGAAGAAGAAGAAGAAGAAGAAGAAAAGGCAAUGUUAAAGUACAGAGCUCGAGAAUAAACAUAUUAGAAACCAUAUUAGGAGAAAUUUUGUCGAAGGUUCUUCCUUUGACAUGAACAAUCCAUUGUUCAUUAGCAGCCCAACUGAAUGCUCUCAUGCAGUUAGUAAUAGUUGUUAUCUUAAAAAUCAGUAUUUCGUAGCCCAGGAUGACACUGACAAAUUUUGAUAGGGAUACUGUUAUGGAAACUCUAUUUCAAAAAAUUGCUUAUAUUCUGAUUGACUGGAAACCUUAGCAAUCAACUUAUGACAGUUAAAGUUAAACCAUGAAAAAAGUAAGGAUUCAAAAAAAACUAUGACACAGGUGAGAUGCCAAUAAAGUUUUGAAGUAUUUUGGAGAGAUGGAAGUAUAAAACUCAUCCGUACUAAUGUAAAUUAUUAGCAAUAAUAUUAAUAAAGUUGAAGACUUGAUGAUUUUCAAGAAUACUACAAUAUAAUUAAAAAAACAUGAAGAUUGAGCACCCUUGAUAAUGUCCCAGAGUUGGAAAGUUUAUUAAAAUUUAUUUACUAUUAUGAAGGUGUGAGUAGUUGAAUUCAAAAUUCUAAAUAUAAAGAGUAGACAGCUUUUCUAUGAAUUUUUUUUUUUAUCUAUAAUUUACAUUAUUUAAAUGAAAAUAAAAUCAUAAAGUUUAUUAAUUAAAAAUUUUGGCCCACAUAUUUCUUGGGGCCUAAAGCAAGGACUUCAUUAGUCUUCCUCUUGAGUUACUCCUGGACAUCAUAAUGAUGAUAGAGAAUCAAUUUGAAUUUGUGCUUAGAAAAUUCAUAACAAAGACUAAUUUUGAGAAAGUCAUAUAAUGAAACUUUUGGAAUAAGGGACAGUUUAGAUUUUGGGACAUCAUAAUAAUGAUAGUGAAUCAAUUUGAAUUUAUGCUUAGUUGAUCCAUAACAAAGAUUAAUUCUGAUAGGACGAUUGAUGAAAAUAUAUACUGAGCAAAAGAAAGAUCUUCAUACGAUAACUAUAUUCACAAGAUUGACUGCAUAAAUAUAUAAAUGUGAAGAUGUGUCAGUUAUAAAGAUAGAUCGGAUAGAUGAGAGACAAUCUCAUUCAGUAGAGGAUGCAUAUAACAUACACAGAGUAUAUGAUGAGAGAAAGUAGUCUGUUUAAAGUUAAAUGUUUGGCUAAAUUCAUUAGCACCGCCCAAAACUUGUCUGAAUCUUUCAUUGUGACUAUAGAACUAGGACUUAUUCCAAUUACACACUUCAACUGCUCAAAAAGUGUCUUAUUAGAUACUUUUUGCUGGCUUAACAUUAUGUGAUAAAACACCUGAAAUGGACGCGUGAGAGGGAAUAACACUCAAGGGUGUGGGUGGUCAAUGAAGUGGGUUGAGAACCAUCAUGUCCCAAGUCCAAGUCCCAGUGGAGGCAAAAACACUAGUUAAGUUCUUCCCAUUUGUCCAAGCAUUGGUGGACAGAGUUACCCAGUACCUACACUAGUGGGAUGUUGCAGGUG